GAAAGGAAACAAAGCAGCAAAUUCUUGAAGAAAAUAAUAUUAUUCCGCAGAAUCUGAUUCCGUCUUCAGUCAAAAUGAGUAGGGGUGAGCAAACAACCAGCCUAACCCUCUCUUCACAGCAGACCAGGGAAGGAAGAGUAGAACUGAAGUACUAUGGAAAGUGUGAAGUCAAGGAAGUAACCAUCUAGUUAACUGUAGUAAUGACUGAUUUUGAGAAGGUUACUGCUAUUGUGAAUCAUUCCCCAUGUAUUAUUGGAGCUGGAAGACGCAGCACAGAUGAAUGCCUACAUUGGAAAAAUCAAUUGAUCCCCAGUGAUUAAUGACCAUUUCCACCAAUCAGCGAAUAGGCCACAGUCAGUAAGGGUAACUCGACUGAUCCUCUCCAUCACAUGGGCACGGGAAACCGUCUCCCUGGACUUUCUUUCCAUUCCCUUAUACAUCAGAGCAGCAGAGGGAAGGAUUCACCUCUUUGUGUUCAUCUUCUUUUUUUCUUGAUCCUUCUUGUUGUCUAAAUUGCUAUUAUAUGAGUUAUAAUAGUGCAAAGGUGACAUUCCUUAUAGUUCUCAAUAUGGCUCAUCAUGAUGCAUCAUAUUUUCAUACUGUCCAUUUGAGAUCCUGCAGCAGCGUACAUCAAACAUCUUGCCAAGUGUACGAGGGAGUUCAUUUCCUGUUGUUGGAGCAGCUGCAAAUAAUCUUAAAUAUACUCAGUUGACUCUGAAAUAAAUUAAAACAGGUGCCUGGAAAAGGGACUUUUUAAUGGAUAAAAAAGUUUGUCCUUUUUCACUUGCAUAUUUUAAAAAUAAUACUAGCAGUGAGAAAAAGUAAAAGAAAUAUACACAGAUGAAUAUGUAAGAAUUCAAACUCAAAUUGGACACAGGAGGGAAAGAAAGGGGAAAAGACCUUGAAAACUGCAAAACCUUGUAUAGUGAAGGUGUUAUAAAGAUAAUUGCUACCUUGAGUUUUGAAGCUACAGAUUAUUUCCCCAUUGACACCUCCUUUCCAUCUGAACUUUUAUUGAUUUGUACAGUAAUUUCUAUCUUCCUAGCAUGCAAACUCCACAUCUGAAAAGGAGGAGGGCUGUAGCAGGGCAGCCUUUUUUGUUGUUGUUUAAUAUAACAUGUUUGAUCAGCCUGAGCAAAUCACCAUCUAGCAUUGUAGAGGUUCAUAUGCAGAUUACAACUCUUGGCUCUUCAAAUAGUCUAUGUUACAAACUUCUUAAUUUGCCUGGAUUUGGUUAUGGAGCCAAUGCAAGCACAGGGUAUUUCAAAUGGCUUAGUUCUGCUCUUUACUCCCAAAGACUUUCAAGCUUUCAAGUAAGUUAUUCCAUCUACUGUAUUUGUGCUUGGUUAUAUGUAACUAUGUGCAGCAGCUGCUCCUGUUGCUUGUGCUAUUAGAAUGUCAUUGUGUUCUCUGUUUGAAUGAGAGAGAAAUAAUCUUUGCUUUAGAUUCUUUGGUCUGGCCAAACUGCUCCUAUGGUGACACUCUAAUAGCACUGGAGAUAUCAGCUGUUGUACAUAAAAUACUAUUGUAUAUAAUAUACUUUAUAUGAAACAGCUGAUGUCUCUCAAUUUGAUACACUCAGUGGACCUAUCUGUGUGUCUGUAUGUGUAUAUGUGUGUGCACACACAUAUACACUAAUCUCUAUCUCAUAUAUGAAUAAUAUAAAAUCUGGCUCAUGAUAUAGAUUGCAUGCAUGAACACAUAAGACUUGGAAAAAUUUCUUUGAGUUCA